AUGGCAGGAAAUGCUACGUGCCAAUACAUUACAUCUUUCUUCCUGGUUGGUAUUCCUGGGUUGGAAAACUUUCACUGCUGGAUUGGCAUUCCUGUCUGUCUUCUGUUUGCACUGACCCUGCUGGGGAACAGCAUAAUCCUUGCUACUGUCAAGCUGGAGCCAAGUCUCCACCAGCCUAUGUAUUUCUUCCUUUGAAUGCUGGCAAUGAAUGACAUGUGUCUUUCCUCUUCUGAAGAUGCUUGGCAUCUUCUGGUUUGAUGCACGCUGGAUCAACUUUGAUGUCUGUCUAACUCAAAUGUAUUUUAUCCAUACACUGUGCAUCAUGGAAUCAGCCCUCUAGUAGCCAUGGCAUUUGAUCCGCUUGUGGUCAUUUGCAUCCCACUGAAUUAUACAUAAAUCCUGACAACAUCUAUCAUGACUAAACUGGGUCUUGUUUGCCUAAUCAGAGGUGUGAUUUUGAUUUUGCCAUGUCCUUUUCUGAUUAAGAGGCUGCCUUACUAUACAGAAUAUGUUAUCUCUCAUGCCUACUGUGAGCACAUGGCGGUGGUGAAAUUGGCAAGUGCCAACACUCUUAUUAACAGAGUAUACAGAAUCUCAGUGGCUCUCUCAAUUAUAAUAGUGGAUGUAGAACUAAUAGGAACAUUCUAUGUAAAAAUCCUCCAGUCAGUGUUUUGGCUCUCUUCCCAGAAUGCCCACACUAAAGCCCUGGGCACCUGUGCUGCGCAUGUCUGCACUAUCCUUGUCUCCUAUACACCUGCACUGUUUAGCUUCCUAACUCACCGCAUUGGCAAGAAUGUGCCUCCAAGCGUUCACAUCAGGUAA
rnacentral:lncRNA from 1 species